rnacentral:RNase_P_RNA from 1 species
UGGAGUGGGUGCAUGAUCGCUGGUUCGCUUUAUGCGGACGAGAGGAAAGUCCGAACUUCACAGGGCAUGGUGGUUCGUAACGCGAACUUCGGGUGACCGGAGGAAAGUGCCACAGAAAACAUACCGCCCCGCUUGCCGGGGUAAGGGUGAAAAGGCGAGGUAAGAGCUCACCGCUUCCAUGGUGACAUGGAAGGCAGGGCAAACCCCACCAGAAGCAAGAUCAAAUAGGGAAACGUUUGAGGGCUGCCCGUCCGAUGUUUCCGGGUAGAUUGCUGGAGGUGCCGGGUGACCGGCAUCCAAGAUAAAUGAUCAUGGCCCGCCUGGCGGGAUACAGAAUUCGGCUUAUAACCCACUCCAAUUU